UCAAAGAAGAAAAUUUCCAGAAGUCUUUUUGAUGCUCAGAAUUGGACUACCUCCUUUGAUGCUUGGCCUUGGAAAGUGAAUAUUCAGAGUAAAAGUGACUGUUAUGGUUUGGGUGAGAAUCGGUACUUAAUGUUGUUCCUUGUUGGCUGUAUAAGACAAAUGAUGUAGAGAAAUUACUGAAGGUUUUCAUAGAUAUAUUUCCUGAAAUAAUUGAGCACAGAAGGCUAUCCAUUGUUCCAAACCAUGAGCCUCGAGAAAUUUCUGUCUUUCCUUCGACACAACUAACAGUUUUGCCGUAAUUUGUCCGCCAACAUUCUCUUUGUCAACAACUUUCUCUGCUGUGCCGGUAGGAUCAUUGUAAUAGCAACAUAUGUAGUCACUAUUGUUAUCAUACAAAUGAGGAAUCCAUUUUGCCACGCCAACAACAGCGCUAGAAUCCUUCAAACCAUAACCAUAUAACCGAGGCAUCCAACUCUUCGAUUCGACAACCAAGUGAACUCGGUGUGGUUUUGUCCGGUGGUCAAGCUCCUGGAA